rnacentral:rRNA from 1 species
AAAGUAGCUUGCUACUUUGCCGGCGAGCGGCGGACGGGUGAGUAAUGUCUGGGAAACUGCCUGAUGGAGGGGGAUAACUACUGGAAACGGUAGCUAAUACCGCAUAACGUCGCAAGACCAAAGAGGGGGACCUUCGGGCCUCUUGCCAUCAGAUGUGCCCAGAUGGGAUUAGCUAGUAGGUGGGGUAACGGCUCACCUAGGCGACGAUCCCUAGCUGGUCUGAGAGGAUGACCAGCCACACUGGAACUGAGACACGGUCCAGACUCCUACGGGAGGCAGCAGUGGGGAAUAUUGCACAAUGGGCGCAAGCCUGAUGCAGCCAUGCCGCGUGUAUGAAGAAGGCCUUCGGGUUGUAAAGUACUUUCAGCGGGGAGGAAGGUGCUGAGGUUAAUAACCUCAGCAAUUGACGUUACCCGCAGAAGAAGCACCGGCUAACUCCGUGCCAGCAGCCGCGGUAAUACGGAGGGUGCAAGCGUUAAUCGGAAUUACUGGGCGUAAAGCGCACGCAGGCGGUCUGUCAAGUCGGAUGUGAAAUCCCCGGGCUCAACCUGGGAACUGCAUUCG